rnacentral:rRNA from 1 species
ACUCCUACGGGAGGCAGCAGUGGGGAAUAUUGCACAAUGGGGAAACCCUGAUGCAGCCAUGCCGCGUGUGUGAAGAAGGCCUUCGGUUGUAAAGCACUUUCAGUAGGGAGGAAGGUAGUGUAGUUAACACCUGCAUUAUUUGACGUUACCUACAGAAGAAGCACCGGCUAACUCCGUGCCAGCAGCCGCGGUAAUACGGAGGGGUGCGAGCGUUAAUCGGAAUUACUGGGCGUAAAGCGCAUGCAGGCGGCCUGUUAAGUCAGAUGUGAAAGCCCGGGGGCUUAACCUCGGAAUUGCAUUUGAAACUGGCAGGCUAGAGUCUUGUAGAGGGGGUAGAAUUUCAGGUGUAGCGGUGAAAUGCGUAGAGAUCUGAAGGAAUACCAGUGGCGAAGGCGGCCCCCUGGACAAAGACUGACGCUCAGAUGCGAAAGCGUGGGGAGCGAAACAGGAUU